AUUGAACGCUGGCGGCAUGCCUAACACAUGCAAGUCGAGCGGAGCGGCGGACGGGUGAGUAAUGCCUAGGAAUCUGCCUGGUAGUGGGGGAUAACGACCGGAAACGGGCGCUAAUACCGCAUACUAUCAGAUGAGCCUAGGUCGGAUUAGCACGUUGGUGGGGUAAAGGCCUACCAAGGCGACGAUACGGAACUGGUCUGAGAGGAUGAUCAGUCACAAUGGGACGGGGACACGGGCCAGACUCCUAGGGGAGGCAGCAGGGGGGAAUAUUGGACAAUGGGCGAAAGCUUGAUCCAGCCAUGCCGCGUGUGUGAAGAAGGUCUUCGGAUUGUAAAGCACUUUAAGUUGGGAGGCGUUACCAACAGAAGAAGCACCGGCUAACGUCGUGCCAGAAGCCGAGGUAAUAC
rnacentral:rRNA from 1 species